UGGCUGCCUGCCCUCCUCUCUGAACCAGCACUCUCAGAUUGGAAAGAGCAUCUUCCCCUGGUCAGGUCCUCUGGAGCAUCCCAUGUCUUGCCCCCAAUCUCCCUAAGAAAGAAAUCAGCCUGCACGUUGGAGGGGGUCCCUGACUCGUCAAAUCAAAGCAUACCUAGUCCCAGAGGCCCCGAGGCAAAAGGCAGUUCUGUUCAGUUGCCCAGUAACGGAAUUGGGGCUUCACCAAUCUCCAUUUUUAUUUUAUUUUUCCUUUGAAUUCACAGGGAAGGGAGCUGGAAGACCACACAUCCUUUGUAAAAACAGUUCUUUGUCCAGAUUAAAUGCCGUUGAGCGGAACGCACCGCUCUCGGCUGAAGUGGGGAGGCCGAUUCGAUUAGUAUAGAUGCGGAAUAGGAAAAUGUUCAGAGAUCUUCUGUAAGAACCAAACAGAACUGGCUACCACUGAGGAGGAGCCCGAGGCUCUCAGAUGCAAGCAAGCCCAUGCAAGAGAGGAAGACAUCCCACGGGUUCUUGGACUUGGGCCUGCUUGACUGAGGCCAGACUUCACCAUGCAUUUGUUGUGUGGCUUGGACAAGCUUCUUAGACACAUUGGUUUUGCUUCCUGGAGGAGCCGUGAAUAUUAAGACAGAUCACAUGCAUUAAAACACAGAUUCUGCAGUAAAUACCAGGACAUUUCAGGAGAAACUCUGGGGCAAUUGAGAACCCCCUCCCCCUGGAGUGCAGAAUGGUCUCUCAGAGAGGCCAUGAGCUGAACUGUCAUCGUAUCAAGAUCCACAUUGUAUCCAUGGUCAAGGGCAAAAGCAAAUGACCCAACCGAAGAGAAAACUCUUCUCUCAGCCUGAGCAUCUCUCUCCACUCUGUGCCUCUUAAAGCAGAAGGUAAAAUGCAGGUGUUCACCAGUCCAGGUCAGAACCCAGAAACAUCAUAUGAAUACACAGUGAAGAAUUAGUCAUGCACAAACCAGGAGGAGGCCUCACAGGAAGCUCCCUGGUAGCUCUGACCUUGGAUUUGCAGCCUCUUUGAAUGUUGAAAACCAAAACCCUCUGGUCCUCUGCUAUGGCAACUUUAUCCUUUCCUACCCCAACUCAGGAUUCCACAUGUACAACAAAUACUCCCACAUUAUCUGAGCCCAUUGGUGAUGCACAGGAAGUCCAGCCAAUGCCUGGAGUACCUUGACAAAGGAUGUCAUCAGUCUUGGACACAUCCCACUCGGCUUGGUACACAUGAAUCUUGGGUGGAGACAAUGCCACGUACCAAAGGGUGAGAACUCGCAUGUGAGCACUUCAGGGUCACAGAGCCUACCUGGAGGACUGCAGAGCCCCCCAGAAUGCUUAACCUGCAGCAAGACAAUAAGGAAAUGCCAUGAAAGAAUUUGCAUAGAAGAAGUAAGGGCCGAAUCUUCCAGACUCAACUGUUGGGGGCUAUGGAGCCAUGUCUGUUGCCACUUGAAGAUCAAUAAAGCUUCCACAGUGCUCGAAGAUGGA